GAUGAACGCUAGCGGCGGGCUUAAUACAUGCAAGUCAAGGGGUAGCAAUACACCGGCGUACGGGUGCGUAACGCGUAUGGAACCUGCCCUUAUCUGGGGGAUAACUCGGGGAAACUCGAGCUAAUACCGCAUAAGAUAGUAAAGAGGCAUCUCUUAGCUAUUAAAGAUUUAUCGGAUAAGGAUGGCCAUGCGUAAGAUUAGAUAGUUGGCGAGGUAACGGCUCACCAAGUCUACGAUCUUUAGGGGCUCUGAGAGGAGAAUCCCCCACACUGGCACUGAGAUACGGGCCAGACUCCUACGGGAGGCAGCAGUAGGAAAUAUUGGGCAAUGGGCGGAAGCCUGACCCAGCCACGCCGCGAGCAGGAAGACGGCCCUCUGGGUUGUAAACUGCUUUUAACUGGGAAGAAAGCAGCUCAUGCGUGAGAAUUUGACGGUACCAGUUGAAUAAGCCACGGCUAACUACGUGCCAGCAGCCGCGGUAACAC
rnacentral:rRNA from 1 species